rnacentral:misc_RNA from 1 species
AGUAAUCAAUUCGUAGGUGAAUUACCUUCAUGUAUAACUGAAUUGUUGAAGUUGCAGAAGCUGAACAUGCAAGAGAAUAUGUUUUCUGGGGAGAUUCCGAGUUCAGUGAGUUCGUGGACUGAUUUAACUGAAUUGAAUUUAUCAAGAAAUCGACUCUCCGGCGAGAUUCCACCGGGACUUGGUAACUUACCGGUAUUAACUUAUCUGGAUCUUUCCGAUAACUUACUCACCGGCCNNNAUGGAGUUGACCAAGUUGAAGCUGAAUAAGUUCAAUGUCUCUAAUAACAGAUUAUAUGGGAGAGUGCCUUCCGGUUUCACAAAUGCAGCGUACUUACCGAGUUUACUGGGUAACCCGAAUCUGUGCAGUCCGGAUUUUAAAGCCCUCCCUCCAUGCUCCAAACCCAAACCCAAACCCGCCACCUUGUACAUUGUGGUCAUUUUAGCCAUUUGCGUUGUAAUUCUUGUCGGGUCUCUUAUAUGGUUCUUCAAAGCCACUUUAUUUGUGAGAAAACCCAAAUGCCCAUAUAAAAUUACCGCAUUCCAACGGGUCCGGUUCACGGCGGAAGACAUAUUUCCACACUUAACAAAAGAGAACCUAGUAGGAUCAGGCGGGUCGGGUCAGGUUUACAAAGUUAUGCUCAAAACAGGAGAGAUUGUCGCAGUGAAGAGACUAUGGGGAGGUACCCAGAAACCAGAGACGGAAUCUCUGUUCAGAUCAGAAGUGGAAACGCUGGGUCGAGUCCGGCAUGGCAAUAUCGUAAAAUUGUUGAUGUGUUGCAGUGGAGAGGAGUUCAGAUUUCUGGUAUAUGAUUACAUGGUGAAUGGGAGUUUAGGCGACGUGUUGCAUAGAGAAAAAGGUGGUGGUUUACUGGAUUGGCCAGGGAGGUUCGCGGUGGCUGUGGGUGCGGCACAGGGCUUGGCUUAUUUGCACCAUGAUUGUGUACCGGCUAUUAUUCAUAGGGAUGUGAAGAGCAACAACAUCUUGUUGGACGAGGAGAUGAGGCCCCGGGUGGCGGAUUUUGGGUUGGCUAAGACGCUGCGGAGUGAGGCGGGUGAGGGUGAUGUUGCUUCUAUGUCUCGGAUCGCUGGUUCCUAUGGCUACAUUGCCCCAGAGUAUGCUUACACGCUUAAAGUGACAGAGAAGAGUGAUGUGUACAGUUUUGGGGUAGUGUUAAUGGAGUUGAUCACUGGCAAAAGCCCAAAUGACUCUUGCUUUGGUGAGAAUAAGAAUAUGGUGAAGUGGGUUACUGAGGCUACAUUAUCAUCAUUGCCUGAAGAAGCGAGUGAAAAUAAGGCCAGCAGUACUGGCUACACUGGAGGUCUACGUGAGAUUAUAGAUUCAAGGUUGGAUCGAUCUACAUGUGAUUUUGAGGAAAUAGAAAAAGUUUUGAAUGUAGCUCUUCUUUGCACUUCAACAUUGCCCAUGAACAGGCCCUCCAUGAGAAGGGUAGUUGAAUUGCUCAAGGACCAGAAAUUUGCUCGUCCUCAAUGAUAGCUUCCAAGAAUUGGUAGCCAGUGACUCCAUAUCCUGUAGAACUUGUAGUGGCAAUCUUCUUAGUUAUUCCCUCUUUUUUUCCUGAAAUUAUGCCACCUUGUACUUGGCUUAGACGCAAAGCUGAAUAUGGCACUUGCUUUGGGUGAAAUUGACAUGUUUAAUCAAGCUGUGUUAAUCAAUAUAGACUUUGAUAAUUUACGAG